rnacentral:rRNA from 1 species
GACAGGUGCUGCAUGGCUGUCGUCAGCUCGUGUCGUGAGAUGUUGGGUUAAGUCCCGCAACGAGCGCAACCCUUGUCUUUAGUUGCCAUCAUUCAGUUGGGCACUCUAAAGAGACUGCCGGUGUCAAACCGGAGGAAGGUGGGGAUGACGUCAAGUCCUCAUGGCCUUUAUGACCAGGGCUACACACGUACUACAAUGGCCGGUACAAAGGGCAGCCACUUAGCGAUAAGGAGCCAAUCCCGUAAAGCCGGUCUCAGUCCGGAUUGGAGUCUGCAACUCGACUCCAUGAAGUUGGAAUCGCUAGUAAUCGCAGAUCAGCACGCUGCGGUGAAUACGUUCCCGGGCCUU